rnacentral:lncRNA from 8 species
GUUCAAUAGGAAAGCGAUAUUAGCAGGUGCGUGUCCUCUUCAUCGCGCGAACACAGACUAAAUUCCAACUCUGUAAGAUUGAAAAGAUAUAGCCAUUGGUUUGUUAUGUGAACCAUUUCUCUGUUCAACUUUUUCAAACAUGAUUUAUAGUUUUAUGUUUUACCACCAUCUUGUGGAAAAAGACAGGGGCACAAUGUCAGUAUUAAAAGAGCAAUAUGGAACUGCUACAUAGAGGUCUACAUCAAACGUUAGGAGGACCUUAAACAGGGAUGCAUCUAGAAUGUAUCACUUAGCUGAGUAGUAUUGAUAAAUCUGGUACGAAGACUACAAUGGUUGAAUUUAGACAGUGAAUGGGUGCGUCCAUAAUAUAAACUUUCUCCCUUCAUUGAAUAUGUGGAGGCAUUGGCUAGUGGCCUUUCACCAUAUUUCUUUCAAAUCAGUUUAGGGAAGUGAACAAGUGCACACUUUGGGAGGAAGGAGAGAUAAUGUAAUUGCUUUUAAGUUUUGCUAAUAUAUUUUUGUCUUAGUGUGUUGUUGUUGUCAAAUGUCAUUGCAGUGGCAGGGCAGAAAUUGGACGAGGAGAUAUCAUGGAUUAGGACAGAGCGAGAGCCUGUCUCCUUCAGCUGCAAAGACAAUGAUCAGUGUACAAUUCAUGUCUACUGGUACCAGAAGAAGGAGGGAGAACAUUUUACCUUGAUUCUUGAGCUGUGAAUGAAUCAAGCUGUGAAUUAAUGAAACAGAAAGUGUUCUGCACCACAGGAAGUGAGAUUUUCAGAGGAACUGUUUGAGACGACACACUCCAGCUGGUUUUUCACCUCUCAUCUUCAUAAUCGACUAUAUGAUCCAAACCAUGCUGCAGUAAAGAUCUGUUAAGUCAGUCUGAUGUUCAGUGUUAUAUGUAACGUGUAGCUUUUCAUUUCCCCAAUUCUUAAGCACAUAUUCACUGAACAUGGACUGUGGUAUAAUAAUAUUCUCUCUUUUUCUGGUGGCUGCUUCAGGACAACAGCUGCAACAGGACCAGAUAUCAAAGAUUAGGAGAGAGAAACAGAGUGUCUCCUUCGGCUGCAAAGUUACUGGUUCGUGCUUGGGUAACCUGGUCCACUGGUACCAGAAGAGAGAGGGUGAACCCUUUACUUGGAUUCUAUACUUUGAUUUUGAUGACAAUUCUAUCAGCAGUGCUACCAGUCAUCCUCAGAGAUCAGAUUUCUCCAUUUGGAGGGAGUCUGAGUCUGACUACAGUGAGCUGAAGAUCCAGUCAGUUAAAGUGUCGCAUUCUGCCACCUACUUCUGUGCCUGCUGGGUCUCGGGAACCCACAGUGAGAACUAAUCCACAUAGCCUGUACAAAAACUCUGUCUUUUUAAUCAAGCUUUUGAAUUCAUGAAAAGGUUUCUAUACCACAGUAAGUGACAUAAUAAGAGGUUAGAGUGUAGUGUCUUCUUCAAAUCCAAAGUGAAAUGCAAUUAUAAAUAAAUAAACAAGAUGUCUUGCCAAAGAGCAAACAGUAUCUAAACUGCAUCUUCUUGCUGUGUCCUGUAUACGUACAUUGUGUGCAGAGGUUGGACAGAGGUUUGUGUGCUUUAUAGAUAUAUAUGGGUAUAACGGUCUGAAUAACUUAUUUACAUAAAUAUUCAGAUCGUUAGCUAUGAGACUUAAAAUUGAGCUCAGGUGCAUCCAGGUUUCCAUUUAUCAUCCUUUAGAUGUUUUUACAACUUGAUUGGAGUCCACCUGUGCUAAAUUCAAUUGAAUGGACAUGAUAUCCUCUCUGGGCUAGGCAGGACGAAAUCGUCCCACCUACGCAACAGCCAGUGUAAUCCCGUGGCGCGAUUUUCAAAUACCUUAGAAAUGCUAUUAUUUCAAUUUCUCAAACAUAUGACUAUUUUACACCAUUUUAAAGACAAGACUCUCGUUAAUCUAACCACACUGUCCGAUUUCAAAAAGGCUUUACAACGAAAGCAAAACAUUAGAUUAUGUCAGCAGAGUACCCAGCCAGAAAUAAUCAGACACCCAUUUUUCAAGCUAGCAUAUAAUGUCACAAAAACACAGAAGACAGCUAAAUGCAGCACUAACCUUUGAUGAUCUUCAUCAGAUGACACACCUAGGACAUUAUGUUAUACAAUACAUGCAUGUUUUGUUCAAUCAAAUUCAUAUUUAUAUCAAAAACCAGCUUUUUACAUUAGCAUGUGACGUUCAGAACUAGCAUACCCCCUGCAAAACUCCGGUGAAUUUACUAAAUUACUCACGAUAAACGUUCACAAAAAACAUAACAAUUAUUUUUAGAAUUAUAGAUACAGUACUCCUCUAUGCACUCGAUAUGUCCGAUUUUAAAAUAGCUUUUCGGUGAAAGCACAUUUUGCAAUAUUCUGAGUAGAUAGCCCAGCCAUCACGGCUAGCCAUUUAGACACCCACCAAGUUUAGCCCUGACCAAACUCCGAUUUACUAUUACAAAAGUUUGAUUACCUUUGAUGUUCUUCGUCAGAAUGCACUCCCAGGACUGCUUUUUCAAUAACAAAUGUUGGUUUGGUCCAAAAUAAUCCAUCGUUAUAUCCAAAUAGCGGCGUUUUGUUCGUGCGUUCAAGACACUAUCCCAAGUGUAAAUAAGGGUCACGAGCAUGGCGCAAUUCGUGACAAAAAAAAUCUGAAUAUUCCAUUACCGUACUUCGAAGCAUGUCAACCACUGUUUAAAAUCCAUUUUUAUGCCAUUUUUCUCGUAAAAAAGCGAUAAUAUUCCGACCGGGAAUCUGCGUUUAGGUAAACAGAGGAAAGAAAACAAAGCAUUCGGUCGACGCGGGCACGCGCCUGAGUCUCACAGUACUGUAACCAGCCACUACCCAAACGCGCUACUUUUUUUCAACCAGAGCCUGCAAAGCCACGAUUCAGCUUUUUCCCGGGCUCUGAGAGCCUAUGGGAGCCGUAGGAAGUGUCACGUUACAGCUAAGAUCCUCACUCUUCAAUAAACAGAGACAAGAAGAACGACACCUUGUCAGACAGGCCACUUCCUGCAUGAAAUCUUCUCAGGUUUUUGCCUGCCAUAUGAGUUCUGUUAUACUCACAGACACCAUUCAAACAGUUUUAGAAACUUUAGGGUGUUUUCUAUCCAAAGCCAAUAAUUAUAUGCAUAUU